rnacentral:piRNA from 1 species
UCUGCUAACCUGUCAACCAAAGUUGGAGAA